rnacentral:rRNA from 1 species
UGGUAAUGCCGGAUGCUCCGGUUGGAUGCAUGUCCUUCCGGGAAAGAUCCAUCGGUAUGGGAUGGGGUCGCGUCCUAUCAGCUUGAUGGCGGGGUAACGGCCCACCAUGGCUUCGACGGGUAGCCGGCCUGAGAGGGCGACCGGCCACAUUGGGACUGAGAUACGGCCCAGACUCCUACGGGAGGCAGCAGUGGGGAAUAUUGCACAAUGGGCGCAAGCCUGAUGCAGCGACGCCGCGUGCGGGAUGGAGGCCUUCGGGUUGUAAACCGCUUUUGAUCGGGAGCAAGCCCUUCGGGGUGAGUGUACCCUUCGAAUAAGCACCGGCUAACUACGUGCCAGCAGCCGCGGUAAUACGUAGGGUGCAAGCGUUAUCCGGAAUUAUUGGGCGUAAAGGGCUCGUAGGCGGUUCGUCGCGUCCGGUGUGAAAGCCCAUCGCUUAACGGUGGGUCUGCGCCGGGUACGGGCGGGCUGGAGUGCGGCAGGGGAGACUGGAAUUCCCGGUGUAACGGUGGAAUGUGUAGAUA